UGGGGAAUCUUGCGCAAUGGGCGAAAGCCUGACGCAGCAACGCCGCGUGGAGGAUGAAGGCCCUUGGGUUGUAAACUCCUGUCGGCUGGGAAGAAAUCGUACGGGGCUAAUACCUCCGGACGUUGACUGUACCAGCAAAGGAAGCCCCGGCUAACUCUGUGCCAGCAGCCGCGGUAAUACAGAGGGGGCCAGCGUUAUUCGGAAUUAUUGGGCGUAAAGGGCGCGUAGGCGGCCAUGCGUGUCUUCCGUGAAAUCCCUCGGCUUAACUGAGGACGUGCGGAAGAAACUGCAAGGCUUGAGUCCGGGAGAGGGGGGUGGAAUUCCCAGUGUAGCGGUGAAAUGCGUAGAUAUUGGGAGGAACACCGGUGGCGAAGGCGGCCCCCUGGACCGGUACUGACGCUGAGGCGCGAAAGCGUGGGUAGCAAACGGGAUUAGAUACCCCCGUAGUCC
rnacentral:rRNA from 1 species